rnacentral:lncRNA from 1 species
CAAAAACAACAUCAAAAUACAUGCAUCGGAAAGAUAAGCAGUUUGACCAAAUUACCCUUACACACUACUAGCAUUAGAAUGUAAUUAUAAUUCACUUUCUUUCUUUCAUCGAAAAUCUCCAGUUUACCCUACGAUUAUGAAAUUUUAAAGGUGGAUUUUACGCAUAAAUGACACGUUUGUUUAAGAUGUUUUUGCUCUAUUUUUACAAGAAAGUAAGGGGCGUUUUGGACAUUUUAACUAGUUUUGGAAAACUUACAUCAGCCAUGUUCUGGAAAAGCUUCCCGGUGAGAUCUUUGAGUUCCUUCUUUUCGUCCUUUGGCUUUGCGGAGAUGAUCGUCUUGAGGUCAUAACGAAGGUACUCCGACUUCAAACGAAGAUCGUUCUGGACAUAUGGCCAUGCCUUUUUGUCGAUGAACUCCUUGACAUUUACAAUUUCUUUCGCCGAUUCCUUUACACGAGCUGUGGCCUCAGUUGGUGAUAAUGGCUGGAUGAAGAACCGGUUCUUCAAUGGUAGAUCAAAGUCU